AGAGGAGCGCAUUUGUUCGCCACAAACAACAAGCGCCUUUCCAGGCGUUCAGUGUUGACUCAGAACAACUUAGCUGAUUGCACGGUCUUGCACCGGCAACGUGUCUUUCAAGUGUCUGCCUUAUCAACUUUCGAUGGUAGUGUACCUGACUACCAUGGUGAUGACGGGUAACGGAGGAUCAGGGUUCGACUCCGGAGAAGGGGCCUGAGAAAUGGCCACUACGUCUAAGGAUGGCAGCAGGCGCGCAAAUUACCCACUCUCAACAUGAGGAGGUAGUGACGAGAAAUAACGAGACCGUUCUCACAUGAGGCCGGUCAUCGGAAUGGGUACAAUUUAAACCCUUUAACGAGUAUCUAUGAGAGGGCAAGUCUGGUGCCAGCAGCCGCGGUAAUUCCAGCUCUCAAAAUGCAUAGAAUUAUUGCUGCGGUUAAAAAGCUCGUAGUUGGAUCUGUGCUGGUCGCCCGGUCUGCCCACUGGGCACGCACUGGUGCGGCCGGCUUUCCUGCCCGGUUUCUCCCGGCGUUGGCCUUCACCGGUCGGCGUCGGUGGCUGGGCGAGUUUACUUUGAACAAAUCAGAGUGCUUCAAACAGGCGUUUCGCUUGAAUGUUCGUGCAUGGAAUAAUAGAAGAGGAUUUCGGUCCGAUUUUAUUGGUUUUGCUGACCGAGAUAAUGGUUAACAGAGACAAACGGGGCCAUUCGUAUUGCUACGUGAGAGGUGAAAUUCUUGGACCGUAGCAAGACGGACUACAGCGAAAGCAUUUGGCAAGAAUGUCUUCAUUAAUCAAGAACGAA
rnacentral:rRNA from 1 species